GUGAAGGUGACCUUUGCAGUUCAAUUGCCUGCCUGUAUGUGAUAAUGGACUGCAAUAUGGCACCCCUGCCAGAGGGGGUAGUGAUCGAUUCAGUACUGUAGCCCACCUCUCUCUCUCUCUCACUCUCACUCUCACACCACCGAGUUUUGCUAGCCGUCCUCACUCUGCUUUAGUUAUGCUGGGAGGAAAGCUUGUAUCCUGUUGACAAGGCCCUGUUCAUUGGAAAGACAGACUGUACUCCAGGGAGUGUCUCUGUCUCUCGCCACAGAAUCUGUGUGAAACUGGAAGAGGGCAUUGUUCCUUUCUCGAUAAGGAAUGAGAAAAUAGUGUAUAUGAUAUGCCUACUCAUUAACUCGUACACUACACGCGCCUUCAGUUCACAAGUCCACAUGUUCAAUCACACACACACACAAUCAGAGGCACAAGAGGGUGAUGUGACCGCGGUGGAAUGUUGGGAUGCAUGGGAAACGCAUGUGCUGUUCAGGAAUUUCUCUGUCUUUUCCUCCCCUACAUUCUGUACCAUUCCCGUCAUUAGCCAUUCCUGCUCACUGAACGAACAUACGGCUCAAACUGAACAUGAUGAACUAAGAUUUAUCAGAUGAAGUUAAUAACGUCUCACCGGGUGGACGCUCGAGAUCUCUAUCUAUUCCUAAGAUCCAAGUUGGUCAAAGUUGGUUUGUGUACUAGUCCAACAUUCCAUGAACCUGCACUGCUUUCUAUGGCACAGCCUGUUGUUUCACCAUAUGCUGUCUGAUUUAAAGCCCCACACCCUGCAUUCCUUAGAUUGUGUGAACAGGAGACUCAGUCCCACUCGCUCUAUCACCACUCUCUCACAUUCACCAGGAACUUGUGCAAUCCCCAUUCCAUAGAGAAACAUGUCACUCUUCUUUACAUUGCUAAUGUGUUAUGUUAAUAUCAUUAUUUAAGUGGCAAUCGACCAUUCAGUUGGUUUGGAUGUUCUUAUUGUUUCUAAUUUGUUUAUUCAAAUUGCCUUUCCGCCAUUCAUUUUCUGUUGUAUACUUUUCUGAAUCUGUAUUUACAUUGGAUGACGUUUUCACACCCCUUCACACCUCUCCAAACACACUGACGUAGCCAGCACAUUAUGAGCCCCAUGUAAGAUUUUUCACUUGGCACUCUGCUGGACCGGCAUGCACGAUCAAUGGCCUAGCAGGUGUUUUCUGACUGCGGGCACUGAGUGGAAAAAUCGAAUGAGGAUGAUAUCGAUUGCACUCUGUCAAGCCAACUAUUUGGCACAAACAAAUUUACCGUACAUAGUCAAGCCGCUUGGAGGUUGCUGAGGGGAGGACGGCUCACAAUAAUGGCUGGAACGGAGCGAAUGGAAUGGCAUCAAACACAUGGAAACCAUUACCACAAGCCUGUUCUCCCCAAUUAAGGUGCCACCAACCUCCUGUGGUCAAGCCAAAACCAGAGUGAGCGGCCAAGCCGGCCCAGCAGUAUAAUUGAUGUCCCUGCACACCAGAUCGCUGUGGCGCAAUGCACUCAGGGCUUCCUCCUGGACCCAUGCAUCCUGUCUCGGACGUUCCCAACGUUCACAGGUGUCUUCGGUUUCCUCUUCCCAAGGGGUAGACAGAUGAACCCAUUGAUCUUUGCUGUGACACUGACUGCCCUCAGUGCCCUGUGACCCCUCCCAAGGUUCCUGUUUGUUCCUUCGACCAUCAUCCCCUCAGCAUCUUCUCAGCAUCCUCUCAGUCACACCCUUUAAAAGCUGCCCUCCCUGGACCACUGACGUCCAGGGAUCUCAGCAAUGCCACCGCACAAUAUUAAUUAUCAACACUGAUAUGGAUUGAACAUCAAUGAUAGAUUGAGUUUUGCUGAGUCUGGAGUUAUAGCAUGGGUUUGGGUGGAUAAGUGGCGAAGGAAAAGUGGCUCUAUAUUACUGUAUGUUUUGGGUCAUCAAUAUGGUCAGUUAGUGGUGGGAUUUGUGGUGAGGGUGACAGAAUAUGUAUAGAAACUGAUUGUGGUGAAUAGUGUUUUGGGGAAAGUGUGUGUGGUGUAGUGGGCUGUGGGCAGUUUCUCUUCUAUAACUUCUGUUUCUGUUCCUUCAUAUCCUCCAUCACAGUGUUCCCUAGAUGUGUGUGUUCAUCACGAUUUGUGUACGGCCUUGUGAAUAUGCAGAUAUGUUUGUGAGAGCAUGGCUGUUUGUACAGUGCAUUCGGAAAGUAUUCAGACCCCUUCCCUUUUUCCACAUUUUGUUACGUUACAGCUUUAUUCUAAAAUGGAUUUAAAAGCAAA
rnacentral:lncRNA from 1 species